UUCCUCCCAUUGGCCAUGGGUCCUAUGAAGAUGUGAGAUCAUUUUUUAUUCUCUACUACUCUGGUGCACUGUCACUGUGAUGAUGGAUAUGUUCUAAUUGGAGAGGCUGAAGUCACCUGCAGAAAUUCACAUUGGUCAGCUCCAGCCCCUCAAUGUAAAGCUCUGUGUCUGAAACCAGAGACAGAAAAUGGAAAGCUGUCUGGGUAAGGAUCUGUAUGUUGAACUUGAAAAUGUCACCAUCCAGUGUGACUCUGGCUAUAAAGUGGUUGGUCCUCAAAAUAUCACUUUGGUUGGUCCUCAAAAUAUCACUUGAUCAGAGCACAGAACAUGGCAGGCACCCAGAGGUGCCCAGUUGUGAGUGGGUUGUGAGCAAGUGCUCACGGGUAGAAAGCUCAUGCAGUGUCUCCCACACCCAGAGGAUUCGAAAAUGACCCUGGAGGUGUAAAAGCUGUCUCUGGAGAUUAAACGACUGGAACAC
rnacentral:lncRNA from 1 species